rnacentral:rRNA from 1 species
GUAAUGCUUAGGAAUCUGCCUAUUAGUGGGGGACAACAUCUCGAAAGGGAUGCUAAUACCGCAUACGUCCUACGGGAGAAAGCAGGGGACCUUCGGGCCUUGCGCUAAUAGAUGAGCCUAAGUCGGAUUAGCUAGUUGGUGGGGUAAAGGCCUACCAAGGCGACGAUCUGUAGCGGGUCUGAGAGGAUGAUCCGCCACACUGGGACUGAGACACGGCCCAGACUCCUACGGGAGGCAGCAGUGGGGAAUAUUGGACAAUGGGGGGAACCCUGAUCCAGCCAUGCCGCGUGUGUGAAGAAGGCCUUUUGGUUGUAAAGCACUUUAAGCGAGGAGGAGGCUACCGAGAUUAAUACUCUUGGAUAGUGGACGUUACUCGCAGAAUAGGCACCGGCUAACUCUGUGCCAGCAGCCGCGGUAAUACAGAGGGUGCAAGCGUUAAUCGGAUUUACUGGGCGUAAAGCGCGCGUAGGUGGCCAAUUAAGUCAAAUGUGAAAUCCCCGAGCUUAACUUGGGAAUUGCAUUCGAUACUGGUUGGCUAGAGUAUGGGAGAGGAUGGUAGAAUUCCAGGUGUAGCGGUGAAAUGCGUAGAGAUCUGGAGGAAUACCGAUGGCGAAGGCAGCCAUCUGGCCUAAUACUGACACUGAGGUG